UACGGAGGGUGCGAGCGUUGUCCGGAAUCACUGGGCGUAAAGGGCGCGUAGGCGGCGCGGGAAGUCAUCGGUGAAAGUUCAGGGCUCAACUCUGAAUCGGCCGGUGAUACUCUCGUGCUUGAGCACUGUAGAGGCAGGUGGAAUUCCGGGUGUAGCGGUGGAAUGCGUAGAGAUCCGGAAGAACACCAGUGGCGAAGGCGACUUACUGGUCCAUGACUGACGCUGAGGCUCGAAAGCGUGGGGAGCAAACAGG
rnacentral:rRNA from 1 species